AAAGCAAAAGGCUAUUCUGAUGUUUUGUACCUUGAUUGUGUACAUAAAAAAUAUCUUGAGGAGGUUUCAUCAUGCAAUAUUUUUGUUGUGAAGGGGAAUGUGAUUUCUACUCCUGCCAUAAAAGGAACAAUAUUACCUGGAAUUACGAGAAAGAGUAUAAUUGACGUUGCUCGUAGCCUUGGAUUUCAGGUUCUUCAACAUUAUAACUUCCAUCAUUU
rnacentral:misc_RNA from 1 species